rnacentral:rRNA from 1 species
GAUGAACGCUGGCGGCGUGCUUAACACAUGCAAGUCGAACGGAAAGGCCCAAGCUUGCUUGGGUACUCGAGUGGCGAACGGGUGAGUAACACGUGGGUGAUCUGCCCUGCACUUCGGGAUAAGCCUGGGAAACUGGGUCUAAUACCGGAUAGGACCACAUUUUGGAUGGUGUGGUGGAAAGUUUUUCGGUGUGGGAUGAGCUCGCGGCCUAUCAGCUUGUUGGUGGGGUAAUGGCCUACCAAGGCGUCGACGGGUAGCCGGCCUGAGAGGGUGUACGGCCACAUUGGGACUGAGAUACGGCCCAGACUCCGACGGGAGGCAGCAGUGGGGAAUAUUGCACAAUGGGCGCAAGCCUGAUGCAGCGACGCCGCGUGGGGGAUGACGGCCUUCGGGUUGUAAACUCCUUUCGCUAGGGACGAAGCGCAAGUGACGGUACCUGGAGAAGAAGCACCGGCUAACUACGUG